GAAGCCCAGGUAAACGGCGGCCGUAACAAUAACGGUCCUAAGGUAGCGAAAUUCCUUGUCGGGUAAGUUCCGACCUGCACGAAUGGCGUAACGACUUCCCCACUGUCUCCAGGAGAUGCUCAGCGAAAUUGAAUUCUCCGUGAAGAUGCGGAGUACCCGCGGUUAGACGGAAAGACCCCGUGCACCUUUACUGCAGCUUCAGAGUGGCAUUAGGAAAGAACUGUGUAGCAUAGGUGGGAGGCUUUGAAGCGUUGGCGCCAGCUGACGUGGAGCCAUAGGUGAAAUACCACCCUGUUGUUUUCUGAUGUCUAACCUCGAUCCAUGAAACUGGAUCAGGGACCCUCUGUGGCGGGUAGUUUGACUGGGGCGGUCGCCUCCUAAAGAGUAACGGAGGCGCGCGAUGGUGGGCUCAGAACGGUCGGAAAUCGUUCGCUGAGUGCAAUGGCAUAAGCCUGCCUGACUGCGAGACUGACGAGUCGAGCAGAGACGAAAGUCGGUCAUAGUGAUCCGGUGGUCCCGAGUGGAAGGGCCAUCGCUCAACGGAUAAAAGGUACUCUAGGGAUAACAGGCUGAUUUUGCCCAAGAGUCCAUAUCGACGGCAAAGUUUGGCACCUCGAUGUCGGCUC
rnacentral:rRNA from 1 species